UAAUUGAAGAGUUUGAUCAUGGCUCAGAUUGAACGCUGGCGGCAGGCUUAACACAUGCAAGUCGAGCGGUAGCACAAGAGAGCUUGCUCUCUGGGUGACGAGCGGCGGACGGGUGAGUAAUGUCUGGGAAACUGCCUGAUGGAGGGGGAUAACUACUGGAAACGGUAGCUAAUACCGCAUAACGUCGCAAGACCAAAGAGGGGGACCUUCGGGCCUCUUGCCAUCAGAUGUGCCCAGAUGGGAUUAGCUAGUAGGUGGGGUAAUGGCUCACCUAGGCGACGAUCCCUAGCUGGUCUGAGAGGAUGACCAGCCACACUGGAACUGAGACACGGUCCAGACUCCUACGGGAGGCAGCAGUGGGGAAUAUUGCACAAUGGGCGCAAGCCUGAUGCAGCCAUGCCGCGUGUGUGAAGAAGGCCUUCGGGUUGUAAAGCACUUUCAGCGAGGAG
rnacentral:rRNA from 1 species